CCGCUGAACUUAAGCAUAUCACUAAGCGGAGGAGAAGAAAUUAACUAAGAUUGCCUCAGUAACGGCGAGUGAAGCGGCAAAAGCCCAAAAUGUAAAUCUUGUGCACUACGUGUACACGAAUUGUAAUCUAGAGAGAGUUCACUCAACGGGCGGGGACGCAGAAGUGACCACGAACGGUCCGCCAGAGAGGGUGAAAGCCCCGUAUGUGGUGUCCCUGCUUAACGAGUGGGUUUUCGAAGAGUCGGGUUGUUUUGUAUUGCAGCCCUAAGUGGGAGAUAAACUUCUUCUAAGGCUAAAUAUUAAUGGGAAACCGAUAGCGAACAAGUACUGUGAAGGAAAGAUGAAAAGAACUUUGAAAAGAGAGUCAAAAGACUUGAAAUCGUUGAGAAGGAAGGAGUAGAAAUUUAUUCUUCGGCGUAGGCCGGUGGUAGUCGCCUAACCAUUGCUGAUUGUGAGUACGUAAAAGGCUCCGGUUGGUACCUGGGGAAGUGGCUGCUUUGGUCUGCGUCGUGAGCCAAGAUGGGGUCGUGCGGCCACAAAGGCUUCUUACAAUUCGCUCUUUUCGGAGGGCAGUGUGAGUGUGUCGGUGGAAGCGCGGCCUGAGGAUGCUUCGGCGAUCUUGGCAAAAUGGUUUUUACUCACCCGUCUUGAAACACGGACCAAGGAGUCUAACAUAUAUGCGAGUGUGCUAGUGGAAAAACUAACACGCGUAAUGAAGGUGAUUGAUGCCAAGCGCAAGCAGCAGCAUCGACCGACCAUGAUUCUCUGAUGAAAGGUUUGAGUACGAGCAUACAUGUUAGGACCCGAAAGAUGGUGAACUAUGCCUGAGUAGGGUGAAGCCAGGGGAAACUCUGGUGGAGGCUCGUAGCGGUACUGACGUGCAAAUCGUUCGUCAAACUUGGGUAUAGGGGCGAAAGACUAAUCGAACCAUCUAGUAGCUGGUUCCCUCCGAAGUUUCCCUCAGGAUAGCUGGGACAAAUACGCAGUUUUAUUAGGUAAAGCGAAUGAUUAGAGGCCUCGGGGGUAAAAUGCCCUCGACCUAUUCUCAAACUUUAAAUUGGUAAGAACCCUGGCCUUUCUUAAGUGAGGCAUGGGGGCUCAAUGCGUGUCCCAAGUGGGCCAUUUUUGGUAAGCAGAACUGGCGAUGAGGGAUGCUCCUAACGUCGAGUUAAGGUGCCCAACUGCACGCUCAUCAGAAACUACAAAGGGUGUUGGUUCAUCCAGACAGCAGGACGGUG
rnacentral:rRNA from 1 species